rnacentral:rRNA from 1 species
AACGCUGGCGGCGUGCCUAAUACAUGCAAGUAGAACGCUGAAGAGAGGAGCUUGCUCUUCUUGGAUGAGUUGCGAACGGGUGAGUAACGCGUAGGUAACCUGCCUGGUAGCGGGGGAUAACUAUUGGAAACGAUAGCUAAUACCGCAUGAUAUUAAUUGUCGCAUGAUAAUUAAUUGAAAGAUGCAAUUGCAUCACUACCAGAUGGACCUGCGUUGUAUUAGCUAGUUGGUGAGGUAACGGCUCACCAAGGCGACGAUACAUAGCCGACCUGACUAGGGUGAUCGGCCACACUGGGACUGAGACACGGCCCAGACCUCCUACGGGAGGCAGCGGUAGGGAAUUUCGGCAAUGGGGGGAACCCUGACCGAGGCAACGCCGCGUGAGUGAAGAAGGUUUUCGGAUCGUAAAGCUCUGUUGUAAGAGAAGAACGGGUGUGAGAGUGGAAAGUUACACUGUGA